UAGCAACUUACUCCACAAAAGGUCUUAUUGAUUCCAGUGGGAACCACUCAAGGAGUAAGGUACCAUUCAAGAUAAUUUCUUACAAGAGCUGUCUAUGAACCCGUUUUGGCAUACACAAAUGUGAAUCUCCUCUCCGGCAUUCAAGGAGAGAUAUGUUAAAUCCUGCGGUUCUGUACGAGCCAGAAGGGGUGGGGAAAGAGAAACCAAAAGUCAGCAGAGGAGUGGAUCCGUGAGUGAGGCAGGAAUAGAGAGGAACCUUCUGUUCUCUAUACCCCACUUCGACAUCUGAUCCUGCAUGAAAUGCAGAUUGCAUACAACUACUAAGGCUAAACAUAGUUAAGUGUUUCAUUAGCAUUGUAUAAGGUACUGUU